rnacentral:rRNA from 1 species
GACAGAGGGGGCAAGCGUUGCUCGGAAUCACUGGGCGUAAAGGGCGCGUAGGCGGGAUGGCAAGUCAGUCGUGAAAUCUCUCGGCUCAACCGAGAAACGUCGGCUGAUACUGCCGUUCUUGAGGGAUGCAGAGGAGACUGGAAUUCCCGGUGUAGCGGUGAAAUGUGUAGAGAUCGGGAGGAAUACCUAUGGCGAAAGCAGGCUACUGGACCGUCACUGACUCUGAUCUGCGAAAGCUAGGGGAGCAAACAGG